rnacentral:rRNA from 1 species
UACGUAGGGUGCGAGCGUUAAUCGGAAUUACUGGGCGUAAAGCGUGCGCAGGCGGUUCGUCGUGUCUCGUGUGAAAGCCCCGGGCUCAACCUGGGAAUGGCAUGGGAAACUGGCGAACUGGAGUGUGGCAGAGGGGGGUGGAAUUCCGCGUGUAGCAGUGAAAUGCGUAGAGAUGCGGAGGAACACCGAUGGCGAAGGCAGCCCCCUGGGCUGACACUGACGCUCAGGCACGAAAGCGUGGGGAGCAAAAGGG